GACCCAGUUUAGCACAAAUCAGCACCCUGCAGAACCUGAACCUGGGGAAAAAUAUCGAUUAAGGAAUUUGUCAGAACAAGAGCAGAGAUACAAACACUUUGAAAUUCUUCGAAUCUGCAAAUUUUGUUUCCAACACUCAACCAAGGUUUGACUGCAGGCAGAUUGACAACAAAGAAGAAUCAAGACUGACAACCAAGAUGUGCUUGUCACUGAUAAUAACUGUCCUGAUUGUUGUGGUUCUGAUUCUCUUGUUACUCUGGAAAAACAUUAUCACUCUGAACGACCUACUCAAAACAGGAAAGAGAGUUUCAGAGGUAGUCAUCUCAGCUUUAGAUGAUCCUAAACUAUCAGGAUCAUUAACACUGACAGUCACUGCGAUUUUCAUUUUGUCAAGCCCUCUAACAACGACUUUGUUGGCUGUUGUUACUGCAACACUUUGGUUGCACUGGUUCAACAUCCUUCCACUAAGAGAUUUAAUUGAAAUAGCCUCAGACUAUUACCAGUCAGUGACCACAGGACCAAAUCAGACCUGCACUGAUUCAAAGCCAGGAGCUAAACGAUUGGCUGAUGCUGUUAAAGAACAAAGCACUCUUCUGCCAUCACAAAAUGGUUGUUUCCCACUUUACAAAAUUCCAGUGGUAACAAAACAAUUUGACAUUAAAGGCUGCAAAAGUUUCACAUUUGGAGAUAAAUCCACAAACUGUAACCGAAACAUCAUGGUCCUUGGAGCCUCAGGUGCUGGGAAGUCCACUGUCAUCAAUGCGAUGGUAAAUUACGUUCUAGGUGUUAAAUGGGAAGACUCGUUUCGGUUUAAGUUAGUGGAUGAAGGUCAGUCAAAGUCACAAGGUCAGACUUCAGAAAUCACACUGUACAAACUCUACCACCAGGAGGGUUUCAGAGUGAAUUACUCUCUGACUAUUGUUGACACUCCAGGCUUUGGAGGCACAGGAGGUAUAGACAGAGACAAGGAGAUCACAGAGCAGCUGCGUGACCUCUUUACUAAUCAGGAAGGUGUCGGUGAAAUUGAUGCCGUGUGUUUUGUUGUUCAGGCUGC